AAUAGCUUUAGGGCUAGCCUCAAGGUGAGAGAUACGGAGGUAGAGCACUGAAUGUCCUAGGGGGUAUUGCACCUACCGAAGACUAUCAAACUCCGAAUGCCGUCAUCUUAUACUUGGGAGUCAGACUGUGGGUGAUAAGAUUCAUAGUCGAAAGGGCAACAGCCCAGAUCGUCAGCUAAGGUCCCUAAAUGUAAGUUAAGUGGUAAAGGAUGUGGGAUUGCACAGACAACCAGGAUGUUGGCUUAGAAGCAGCCACUCAUUCAAAGAGUGCGUAAUAGCUCACUGGUCGAGUGAUCCUGCGCCGAAGAUUUCCGGGGCUAAAACUUACUACCGAAGCUACGGCAUCAGUAAUGAUGGGUAGGGGAGCUUCCCAUACGGGUUGAAGCAUGACCGUAAGGACAUGUGGACAGUAUGGGAGUGAGAAUGUUGGCAUGAGUAGCGAGAUGUGGGUGAGAAUCCCACAGGCCGUAAACCCAAGGUUUCCAGGGGAAGGUUCGUCCGCCCUGGGUUAGUCGGGACCUAAGCUGAGGCCGAAAGGCGUAGGUGAUGGACAACAGGUUGAUAUUCCUGUACUACCGAUAACCGUUUGAGAGAAGGGAUGACACAGUAGGAUAAGCUAAGCACACUGUUGGUUAUGUGUGCCCAAGCAUUGAGGCAGUCAAAGUAGGCAAAUCCGCUUUGAUAAUGCUGGGAUGUGAUGGGGAGCGAAAUUUAGUAGCGAAGUAGCUGAUUUCACACUGUCAAGAAAAGU
rnacentral:rRNA from 1 species